UACGGGGGGGGCAAGCGUUGUUCGGAAUUACUGGGCGUAAAGGGCUCGUAGGCGGCCAACUAAGUCGGACGUGAAAUCCCCCGGCUUAACCGGGGAACUGCGUCCGAUACUGGAUGGCUGGAGGUUGGGAGAGGGAUGCGGAAUUCCAGGUGUAGCGGUGAAAUGCGUAGAUAUCUGGAGGAACACCGGUGGCGAAGGCGGCAUCCUGGACCAAUUCUGACGCUGAGGAGCGAAAGCCAGGGGAGCAAACGGG
rnacentral:rRNA from 1 species